rnacentral:rRNA from 1 species
UACCAGCACCCCGAGUGGUCGGGACGUUUAUUGGGCCUAAAGCAUCCGUAGCCGGUUCUACAAGUCUUCCGUUAAAUCCAACUGCUUAACAGGUGGGCUGCGGAAGAUACUAUAGAGCUAGGAGGCGGGAGAGGCAAGCGGUACUCGAUGGGUAGGGGUAAAAUCCGUUGAUCCAUUGAAGACCACCAGUGGCGAAGGCGGCUUGCCAGAACGCGCUCGACGGUGACGGGAUGAAAGCUGGGGGAGCAAAGCCGGG